rnacentral:rRNA from 1 species
AUACGGAGGGUGCGAGCGUUAAUCGGAAUUACAGGGCGUAAAGCGUACGUAGGCGGUUGGUUAAGUUAGAUGUGAAAGCCCCGUGCUUAACCUGGGAACUGCAUUUAAAACUGACGAACUAGAGUUGAGUAGAGGGGAGUGGAAUUUCAGGUGUAGCGGUGAAAUGCGUAGAGAUCUGAAGGAACACCAGUGGCGAAGGCGACUCCCUGGACUCGAACUGACGCUGAGGUACGAAAGCGUGGGUAGCAAACGGGAUUAGAAACCCUAGUAGUCC